rnacentral:rRNA from 1 species
GACGAACGCUGGCGGCGUGCUUAACACAUGCAAGUCGAACGGAAAGGCCCUGCUUUUGUGGGGUGUUCGAGUGGCGAACGGGUGAGUAACACGUGAGUAACCUGCCCUUGACUUUGGGAUAACUUCAGGAAACUGGGGCUAAUACCGGCUAGGAGCUCCUGCUGCAUGGUGGGGGUUGGAAAGUUUCGGCGGUUGGGGAUGGACUCGCGGCUUAUCAGCUUGUUGGUGGGGUAGUGGCUUACCAAGGCUUUGACGGGUAGCCGGCCUGAGAGGGUGACCGGCCACAUUGGGACUGAGAUACGGCCCAGACUCCUACGGGAGGCAGCAGUGGGGAAUAUUGCACAAUGGGCGGAAGCCUGAUGCAGCAACGCCGCGUUCGUGAUGACGGCCUUCGGGUUGUAAACCGCGUUCGCCUGUGACGAAGCGUGAGUGACGGUAAUGGGUAAAGAAGCACCGGCUAACUACGUG